UGUAAGGAUCUCCGAGUGGACUACUCUCAAUGUACUAAUGUUCUGUGUUGCAUGGAACCAUAGUUUCUCUGUGGUUGGUGAGAGAGAGUAAAUAUGUGAGCACUUAAGCACCCAGAGCUCUUUGUUACUUUCCCUUACAUUACAUGUGCCAUCAUAUUUAAGGUGUAUGCAAUGUUAUCCCUGCAGCCACUAUUUUGAAGAGGCUACAGAAAGUGAGGAAGACGACAUACAAAAAUUUGAUGUGGCAAAGAUUGCAUCUAUCACUCCCUCCAUUACUUCACCAGGCAUAAGUUCAUGAACAACAACGGGAGGUUGGCUAAUAGGAUGUAAUUAUUAUUUUUGUUUAUUUAAAAUGGUUUUGAACUGGAACAUUGUAGUUGAGGACUGAGACCAUUGGAUGGGCGGAGGAAUGAUGUGGUAAGAAAGGGGACUACUGAGGUAAGGGUUUUGAGACAAGAAAAGAUUUAAACACUUGCAGAGUUAUUUACUAAAGUGAGAAUUAAAAGUAAACUUGAAAUAUAAGGCCACGGUAGCCAAACUGAAAACAUCUCACAUG